GGCGAGAUGGCCGAGUUGGUUAUGGCGGUAAGCAUUGGCUAACAUCCUAUGAUUUACGCAGUACUAAUUCAGUCUCCAGCCAGGUUAAGGUUCAACUUAACAUCAUUUCCUGGUCACGUUAUGUGGCGUGGGUUCGAGUCCCACUCUCGUCA